UUGCUCUUAGCCUUUACCUUACUGUGUACAAAGGAAACGUAUGCCUAUACACUCACACAUUUAUCUGUUAUCUUGACAAACGAUAGCGAUGACGACUACGGCGAUGUAGUACCUAGGUCAGUUAUUGUCAUUUCUUACUAUCCCGUGAUCAGACAAAUAUUGCUAUCCUUGUCUCCUUUCUAACCGGCAUGCAGCGCACGCAUAAAACGCGUGAGCGACCGCGUCACCGGUAACAUCUUGACAAGCGAUAGCAAACCGGUAUUUAUUACGUCCCUUACUAUCCCAGGAUCACACAAAUAGUGCUAUCCUUGUUUAUGUGAACGCCGCCCCCGGUGAAGUUGGGAUUAGUUUUUUGCAUGUUUUGUUUGUUAAUUUGUUCACAGUUUAGUGCAAACCAUGGCCACGAUUGGUAUUAUUGUUGUUUGUUAAAAUAUUGUGAGUGCUCUAAAAAUGCAAGCAAAUGAAUAUUCAAGAUAUUAUAUUCUAAAAGAUAUUAGUGGAUGCAGAUAAGAGUGUUUAGUGAGUGCUAUGUUUGAAUAUUGCAAGUGAAAACACAGCCUAUCGAUGUAAUGCGCCGAUAAACAAUCAUGACUGCAUUGAUGUAAUGCGCUAAAAAACUGCAAUGGCUCCGAAUACAUGAUUACCAGAU